rnacentral:rRNA from 1 species
GAUGAACGCUGGCGGCGUGCCUAAUACAUGCAAGUCGAGCGAACAGACGAGGAGCUUGCUCCUCUGACGUUAGCGGCGGACGGGUGAGUAACACGUGGAUAACCUACCUAUAAGACUGGGAUAACUUCGGGAAACCGGAGCUAAUACCGGAUAAUAUAUUGAACCGCAUGGUUCAAUAGUGACAGACGGUUUUGCUGUCACUUAUAGAUGGAUCCGCGCCGCAUUAGCUAGUUGGUAAGGUAACGGCUUACCAAGGCAACGAUGCGUAGCCGACCUGAGAGGGUGAUCGGCCACACUGGAACUGAGACACGGUCCAGACUCCUACGGGAGGCAGCAGUAGGGAAUCUUCCGCAAAGGGCGAAAGCCUGACGGAGCAACGUCGCGUGAGUGAUGAAGGUCUUCGGAUCGUAAAACUCUGUUAUUAGGGAAGAACAAAUGUGUAAGUAACUAUGCACGUCUUGACGGUACCUAAUCAGAAAGCCACGGCUAACUACGUG